UAGGGAAUCUUCCACAAUGGACGCAAGUCUGAUGGAGCAACGCCGCGUGAGUGAAGAAGGUUUUCGGAUCGUAAAGCUCUGUUGUUGGUGAAGAAGGAUAGAGGCAGUAACUGGUCUUUAUUUGACGGUAAUCAACCAGAAAGUCACGGCUAACUACGUGCCAGCAGCCGCGGUAAUACGUAGGUGGCAAGCGUUGUCCGGAUUUAUUGGGCGUAAAGCGAGCGCAGGCGGAAUGAUAAGUCUGAUGUGAAAGCCCACGGCUCAACCGUGGAACUGCAUCGGAAACUGUCAUUCUUGAGUGCAGAAGAGGAGAGUGGAAUUCCAUGUGUAGCGGUGGAAUGCGUAGAUAUAUGGAAGAGCACCAGUGGCGAAGACGGCUCUCUGGUCUGCAACUGACGCUGAGGCUCGAAAGCAUGGGUAGCGAACAGG
rnacentral:rRNA from 1 species